rnacentral:rRNA from 1 species
GACAGAGGGUGCAAACGUUGUUCGGAAUUACUGGGCGUAAAGCGCGUGUAGGCGGCCCGGAAAGUCGGAUGUGAAGCCCUGGGCUUAACCCAGGAAGUGCAUUCGAAACUCCCGGGCUUGAGUUCUGGAGAGGAAGGCGGAAUUCUCGGUGUAGAGGUGAAAUUCGUAGAUAUCGAGAGGAACACCGGUGGCGAAGGCGGCCUUGCUGGACGAGUGACUGACCGCUGAGACGCGAAGCGUGGGGAGCAAACAG